rnacentral:rRNA from 1 species
GACGUAGGGUCCAAGCGUUGUCCGGAUUUACUGGGCGUAAAGAGCGCGUAGGCGGUCUGUUAAGUGUAGAGUGAAAUCUCCAGGGCUCAACCCGGAAACUGCUCUGCAUACUGGCAGGCUUGAGGGAUGCAGAGGUUUGUGGAAUUCCUGGUGUAACGGUGAAAUGUGUUGAUAUCAGGAGGAACACCCAUGGCGAAGGCAGCAAACUGGGCAUCAUCUGACGCUGAGGCGCGAAAGCGUGGGUAGCAAACAGG